CAAUAUUGACAGCAUAUAACUUAUUUCUUUUACAACUUUUUAUCAAUUAUUUAAUAACAAACAAUCAUGUACAUAUCAAUAUGCUGAUAACAACUGCAUACGCUGCGAGUGAUCAAUGAAAUAUAUAAAAGUGACGAAACGAAUUUCGUAACAUAGCCCCCUCCUGAAGAAAACAUUCGUCCCGAAUGCAACUGGACUUGGGUCUACUGAAAACAUCACUUGCAGUUAUAGAAGUUGUAACCUUCCCAAUACUAAAUCGGCUGGGAGAGAAACAUGCCUACCAAACAUCAUCUCACAUGGACUUACGCCAGUUGACUCGUGCUGGGCUGACCUAUAAGCUAACAUGAGCAAGGGUGCCUUUUGUUUCGACCUAGUUUCAACAACUGAACACUUUUGUGUAGAUUCUUCAGAUAUGGGAGACAUGGCUGCUGAGAUACCUUCUGUGGGAGCAGGGACUUUCCCGUUAUCCGCGAUGGAUCCAGCGGGACUGAAAAUUUGCUGACCUAUGGGUUUGAAAGUGACUUCCCCGGACUCUUCUAAAUCUGACAUUUCUGUGACUUUUUUUUUUUUUUUUUUAUUGUACACUAUGAAAUUUCAAUGAUUGUAAAAUUUUGAAUUUAAUAAA